UAGUUGGAUUUGGGUCGACCGGGCCGUCGGGCCGCCGCCUCCGUGCGGCGAGUUCCCGUGCGUCCCCGGGACCGCACGUUCACCCCCGCGGUGCUCUUUACUGAGUGUCCGCGGUAGCGGGUGACCGAACGUUUACCUUGACAAAACCGGAGUGCUCGAGGCGUGGGCGUUCGCCGCCCGUACGUCCUCGCUGGGAAUAAUGGAAGAGGACCGUUGGUCAAAAAAGGUUUUUUGUCAGAGAGGCGGAGAGCAAAAAAGAGGUUGUGUUGGCGGGGGGUUACAAAGGGGGGCGACUCCCUUUCCCCCUCUGGCCUUCCUUUUUCUCCUCCUUGAAACCUUCCUCUCGUGUACCGCACCGGGGAUCGGUUGGCGCUAUUCGGCGGAAAGGACGGUUUGAGACAGAAGGGUGAAAGCAGGUGGUCGUUUGCCGGAAAGCGAAAGCUGGACGGCCGAUCGUCUGUGGAAACCUGGAAUCUUACGCCCCCUCACUGUCGUGGUGCUUCCGUCUCUUCGGUGUCAGCGGGAGGAGGUCGAAAACCCCAAUAAAAAUAACGUGUCAUGAUUAAGAGGGACGGCCGGGGGCAUUCGUACCGCGGCGCGAGAGGUGAAAUUCUAGGACCGUCGCGAGACGAACGAUAGCGAAAGCAUUUGCCAAGAAUGUUUUCCUUAAUCAAGAACGAAAGUCGGAGGUUCGAAGGCGAUCAGAUACCGCCCUAGUUCCGACCUUAAACCAUGCCGUCCGACCGCCCGCCAGGGUUACUACCGCGACUCGGCGGGCGGUGACUUUCCACCGGGAAACCCUUAAGCUUUCGGGUUCCGGGGGAAGUACGGUCGCAAAGCUGAAACUUAAAGGAAUUGACGGAAGGGCACCACCAGGAGUGGAGCCUGCGGCUUAAUUUGACUCAACACGGGGAACCUCACCCGGCCCGGACACCGCGAGGAUUGACAGAUCGAUAGCUCUUUCUCGAUCC
rnacentral:rRNA from 1 species